rnacentral:rRNA from 1 species
UGGGGAAUAUUGCGCAAUGGGGGAAACCCUGACGCAGCGACGCCGUGUGAGGGAAGAUGGCUUUCGGGUCGUAAACCUCUGUCAGGAAGGAAGAACCUCUCAAGGCUGAACAAGCCUUGGGACUGACGGUACUUCCCGAGGAAGCACGGGCUAACUCCGUGCCAGCAGCCGCGGUAAUACGGAGGGUGCAAGCGUUAAUCGGAAUCACUGGGCGUAAAGCGCGCGUAGGCCGUCUUUUAAGUCGGACGUGAAAGCCCUCGGCUCAACCGGGGAACGGCUUGCGAUACUGGGAGACUUGAGGCCUGGAGAGGGUGGCGGAAUUCCGGGCGUAGGAGUGAAAGCCGUAGAUAUCCGGAAGAACACCGGUGGCGAAGGCGGCCACCUGGACAGGUACUGACGCUGAGGCGCGAAAGCGUGGGG